GUGAAGGAAGAACAUCCAUGUUAUCCCUCGACGUGUCCUAACAGUGCUAUCAUUUCGGAACCCCCGCCGCAACAGCGAUGUCGCCCGAAAAGGACGAGGCAGAAGGUAAAGAGACGCAAAUCAAGGUAACGACGUAUUACCGUAUAAACCGGCGUACAGAAUAAAGGAGCCUCGGUGCCAAAAUGGCCAUUCCACCGAAGAGAGGCAUCGCAAUGUCGACAUUUGCAGCGAGAACCUGAAGCCGUGUCUGAAGUGCUCCAAAACGAGUCCUGCUAGCGAUCCGUGCUCAAGGAGCAUGGAUUUCUGUACGAAUAAAAGGCCAGAAAGCUCCUGCAAAAAGCUGAGCUUUGUCUGCGGGGAGGUAACGGAGGAGACAUCGAGCAUGUCCGACAAGGAAGUCGACAAGAGAAAGGCUCUGGGUCUCGUCUUCGACGUCGUUUUC